rnacentral:rRNA from 1 species
GACGAACGCUGGCGGCGUGCUUAACACAUGCAAGUCGAACGAUGAACCGGUUUCGGCCGGGGAUUAGUGGCGAACGGGUGAGUAACACGUGGGCAAUCUGCCCUGCUCUCUGGGAUAAGCCCGGGAAACUGGGUCUAAUACCGGAUACGACACUCCGAGGCAUCUUGGGGUGUGGAAAGUUCCGGCGGUGCAGGAUGAGCCCGCGGCCUAUCAGCUUGUUGGUGGGGUAAUGGCCUACCAAGGCGACGACGGGUAGCCGGCCUGAGAGGGUGACCGGCCACACUGGGACUGAGACACGGCCCAGACUCCUACGGGAGGCAGCAGUGGGGAAUAUUGCACAAUGGGCGAAAGCCUGAUGCAGCGACGCCGCGUGAGGGAUGACGGCCUUCGGGUUGUAAACCUCUUUCAGCAGGGAAGAAGCGAAAGUGACGGUACCUGCAGAAGAAGCACCGGCUAACUACGUG